rnacentral:rRNA from 1 species
UACGUAGGGGGCUAGCGUUGUCCGGAAUCAUUGGGCGUAAAGAGCGUGUAGGCGGUCCGGUAAGUCCGCUGUGAAAGUCGGGGGCUCAACCCUCGAAUGCCGGUGGAUACUGUCGGGCUAGAGUGCGGAAGAGGCGAGUGGAAUUCCUGGUGUAGCGGUGAAAUGCGCAGAUAUCAGGAGGAACACCGAUGGCGAAGGCAGGUCUCUGGGCCAUUAACUGACACUGAGAGCGAAAGCAUGGGGAGCGAACAGG